rnacentral:rRNA from 2 species
GGGUGGCGAGUGGCGGACGGGUGAGGAAUACAUCGGAAUCUACCCGUUCGUGGGCCAUAACGUAGGGAAACUUACGCUAAUACCGCAUACGACCUACGGGUGAAAGCAGGGGAUCUUCGGACCUUGCGCGAUUGAAUGAGCCGAUGUCGGAUUAGCUAGUUGGCGGGGUAAAGGCCCACCAAGGCGACGAUCCGUAGCUGGUCUGAGAGGAUGAUCAGCCACACUGGAACUGAGACACGGUCCAGACUCCUACGGGAGGCAGCAGUGGGGAAUAUUGGACAAUGGGCGCAAGCCUGAUCCAGCCAUACCGCGUGGGUGAAGAAGGCCUUCGGGUUGUAAAGCCCUUUUGUUGGGAAAGAAAUCCAGCUGGUUAAUACCCGGUUGGGAUGACGGUACCCAAAGAAUAAGCACCGGCUAACUUCGUGCCAGCAGCCGCGGUAAUACGAAGGGUGCAAGCGUUACUCGGAAUUACUGGGCGUAAAGCGUGCGUAGGUGGUCGUUUAAGUCUGUUGUGAAAGCCCUGGGCUCAACCUGGGAACUGCAGUGGAAACUGGACGACUAGAGUGUGGUAGAGGGUAGCGGAAUUCCUGGUGUAGCAGUGAAAUGCGUAGAGAUCCCUGGUGUAGCAGUGAAAUGCGUAGAGAUCAGGAGGAACAUCCAUGGCGAAGGCAGCUACCUGGACCAACACUGAUAAGCAAACAG